rnacentral:pre_miRNA from 1 species
AUGUAGGGCAACCUACCUUAAGUAAGGGUGAUUUACUCUAAAAGAAAUUAAUUCUAUAUAGUUUUCCCUUCAAGUCAAGUGUCUUGU